rnacentral:antisense_RNA from 1 species
GUUCAGAGAAUUCCAACUUCUUACAAGAACAGAUAUUUAUAAGAAAACAAGGCACAUUUUGGAAUCCUAUUCAGAAAAUAUACUGACUUCUUUUUCAGUGGUGGACAAUCCAAUCAAUAUUGUAUUGCAAGAAAAAAUGAAACAUUACACAGAUGAAGACAUGUUGAAAUACAUGAAGAUGACAGCCACAUGUUUACUCCUCCCAGAUGUUUUUGGGGAUGAUCCCAGCCUUUUUGUCAUCAUGAAUGAACAGGUGCAAGUGUCCACACCUGUGUUGGAAGUUAAAAACCCUUUCAACAUGGAGGUCUGCGAAUUUUCUUUAUAUUUAGAAAGGGAGAGGCUCACAAAGGUGGACGACUGUGUUACAGCCUUGGCUGCGCUAGUAGCUGCCUUUCAUGUGUUUAGGAUUGAGUGUCCAAGAAGACUGUCCCAAACCUUCAACUUCCUAGAAACGCUGAUUUUCGAUAUGCACAGUCCUUAUUUUCCUUCUUUGAAAGAAAAGGAAAACGAAGUAGGAUUUCAGCACCCAGUCACUUAAUAGCAUGCCAAAUAUUGUAUUGGAAUUUACCUCUGGGAAAACUGAAGCUUCAUAAGAAAUUGUUUUGAUUUAGGGUUGUGGUAGAGGUAUACAUCCCUAUGGCUGAAGUUGAAUGACAGCCUCUCUCAGGCCAUGACAGGAUGACAAGGUGAGCUACAAGGAAACUGCAGUGAAGUUUGGCUCCAAGCAUGACACAGACAUGGGCUGACCUUGAAGAAAAAAAGGACUAAACGCUACCUACGCUCAAUGUUCCACACCUCUUAAGCCAGUAAUCCUGUAUCGGGUGUCGGGCAGCAAAGAAAAUAAAAUAUACCUCGUCUGUGCUCCAUUUGGAAACUUUACUGGCAGGGAUUCCUGCGACAGUUGGAA